GACGAACGCUGGCGGCGUGCUUAACACAUGCAAGUCGAACGGAAAGGCCCCUUCGGGGGUACUCGAGUGGCGAACGGGUGAGUAACACGUGAGUAACCUGCCCUUGACUUCGGGAUAACUUCAGGAAACUGGGGCUAAUACCGGAUAGGAAUCCUUGCUGCAUGGUGGGGGUUGGAAAGCUUCGGCGGUUUUGGAUGGACUCGCGGCUUAUCAGCUUGUUGGUGGGGUAGUGGCUUACCAAGGCUUUGACGGGUAGCCGGCCUGAGAGGGCGACCGGCCACAUUGGGACUGAGAUACGGCCCAGACUCCUACGGGAGGCAGCAGUGGGGAAUAUUGCACAAUGGGCGGAAGCCUGAUGCAGCAACGCCGCGUGCGGGAUAACGGCCUUCGGGUUGUAAACCGCUUUCAGCAGGGGCGAAGCUUGUGGUGACGGUACCUGCAGAAGAAGCACCGGCUAACUACGUG
rnacentral:rRNA from 1 species